UAGUUGCGUGCAUAGUGUUAUCUGCUUC
rnacentral:sRNA from 1 species